rnacentral:rRNA from 1 species
AUUGAACGCUGGCGGCAGGCUUAACACAUGCAAGUCGAGCGGGGUGAUGGUGCUUGCACUAUCACUUAGCGGCGGACGGGUGAGUAAUGCUUAGGAAUCUGCCUAUUAGUGGGGGACAACAUCUCGAAAGGGAUGCUAAUACCGCAUACGUCCUACGGGAGAAAGCAGGGGAUCACUUGUGACCUUGCGCUAAUAGAUGAGCCUAAGUCGGAUUAGCUAGUUGAUGGGGUAAAGGCCUACCAAGGCGACGAUCUGUAGCGGGUCUGAGAGGAUGAUCCGGCACACUGGGACUGAGACACGGCCCAGACUCCUACGGGAGGCAGCAGUGGGGAAUAUUGGACAAUGGGGGGAACCCUGAUCCAACCAUGCCGCGUGUGUGAAGAAGGCCUUAUGGUUGUAAAGCACUUUAAGCGAGGAGGAGGCUCUUUUGGUUAAUACCCAAGAUGAGUGGACGUUACUCGCAGAAUAAGCACCGGCUAACUCUGUGCCAGCCGCCGCCGUAA